CCCCGGGGACAAGUUUUUUUUGUAUACGGAAAAAAAAAACUUAAACAAUUAAAGUCAAGUCUAUUAGAAAACAGAUCUUCAGGAAUGUUCUGUUAAAGUCAUCUGGAAGCGAACAAGAAUAAACGUAUGGUGUCCUUUCACAAUUUUAAACGUAUGGUGUCCUUUCACAAUUUUAAACAUAUGGUGUCCUUUCACAAUUUUAAAUGUAUGGUGUCCUUUCACAAUUUUAAAAGUAUGGUGUCCUCUCACAAUUUGAAACAUAUGGUGUCCUUUUCCAAUUUUAAAUGUAUGGUGUCCUUUCACAAUUUUAA
rnacentral:lncRNA from 1 species